GUGCUUGCUUCAGCAGCACAUAUAAUAAAAUUGAAACGAUACAGAGAAGAUUAGCAUGGCCCCUGAACAAGGAUGACACUCAAAUUUGUGAAGCGUUCUGUAUAUUU
rnacentral:snRNA from 1 species